GAUAAAAUCUAAAAAUCUUUUGCACAAUGGUCAAGCCUAAUUUCCCAGUAUCUGUUGCCUCUCAACUGGAGGCUUAAUGGUGAUGUCACACAGGUGAAUAUUAAAGAAGCAAUUCUUACUUGUGAAACUUUCUCAGACUCCAUUCACAAAUUCCACUCCCAAGUUGAGCUGACUAAGCCAAAGAAAACACAUUAAUCAUGCACAGGCCUGUAUAUGCAUUAGCUUUUACAUGUUUGGGAAGAUUCUACCUUGACUGAGUCAUUUAGUAUUUGAUUCUGCUCAGUUUGAAAUCAGGGAUUACUUUGAGAUAAAGUUCUAACUUAGUAUAUUUUGAAAGUUCUGACUUCCUAGCUGAUUAAGUUUUGGUUGUUUUAUCUUUUAACUGUACUUAACUGCAUUUAAUUCUGCUUGCAUUGCUUUCAAGGUUGCUUUGAGUCCUGAAACCACAUGUACAUGUCUUUAUUUUCUCUGCAAAACAAUGAAAGUAGUGAUACAGUGAUUGACUGGUGAUAGAACAAUAAAGCAUGGAGAAACAGCAUUUUUGGAAGCAGUGAGACCACAGAUAUUUGCCAUUGAAGGCCACAUAAAUAAAGCUACUAAAGAGGGAAGGUCUGAAGUUUUUCACCCAUUUGGAGCCACUGGAGCAAACAUUGAAAGGCAAUUUCAAAGCUGAAAUUUACUCAAGAAAAAUGCCUACACUUCCGUGUGAGCCCUAUGCAGAUCCCAAAAGAUUGGCCAGUGUUUGGAGACUUCCUGGGAGGUAUCAGUUGCUUGGUGAUAUG